rnacentral:hammerhead_ribozyme from 1 species
AUCCAAUUGAUAUGUUCCAAAUAGGACUAAACGCGCGUCUUGAAU